rnacentral:rRNA from 1 species
UUCUUGAGAGCGGCGGACGGGUGAGUAAUGCCUAGGAAUCUGCCUAGUGGUGGGGGAUAACGUUCGGAAACGGACGCUAAUACCGCAUACGUCCUACGGGAGAAAGCGGGGGACCUUCGGGCCUCGCGCCAUUAGAUGAGCCUAGGUCGGAUUAGCUAGUUGGUGAGGUAAUGGCUCACCAAGGCGACGAUCCGUAACUGGUCUGAGAGGAUGAUCAGUCACACUGGAACUGAGACACGGUCCAGACUCCUACGGGAGGCAGCAGUGGGGAAUAUUGGACAAUGGGCGAAAGCCUGAUCCAGCCAUGCCGCGUGUGUGAAGAAGGUCUUCGGAUUGUAAAGCACUUUAAGUUGGGAGGAAGGGUAGUAACUUAAUACGUUGCUACUUUGACGUUACCGACAGAAUAAGCACCGGCUAACUUCGUGCCAGCAGCCGCGGUAAUACGAAGGGUGCAAGCGUUAAUCGGAAUUACUGGGCGUAAAGCGCGCGUAGGUGGUUCAGUAAGUUGGAAGUGAAAUCCCCGGGCUCAACCUGGGAACUGCUUUCAAAACUGCUGAGCUAGAGUACGGUAGAGGGUGGUGGAAUUUCCUGUGUAGCGG